GAUGAACGCUAGCGACAGGCUUGACACAUGCAAGUCGAGGGGCAGCACAGGUAGCAAUACCGGGUGGCGACCGGCGCACGGGUGAGUAACGCGUAUGCAACUUGCCUAUCAGAGGGGGAUAACCCGGCGAAAGUCGGACUAAUACCGCAUGAAGCAGGGGCCCCGCAUGGGGAUAUUUGCUAAAGAUUCAUCGCUGAUAGAUAGGCAUGCGUUCCAUUAGGCAGUUGGCGGGGUAACGGCCCACCAAACCGACGAUGGAUAGGGGUUCUGAGAGGAAGGUCCCCCACAUUGGUACUGAGACACGGACCAAACUCCUACGGGAGGCAGCAGUGAGGAAUAUUGGUCAAUGGCCGAGAGGCUGAACCAGCCAAGUCGCGUGAGGGAUGAAGGUUCUAUGGAUCGUAAACCUCUUUUAUAGGGGAAUAAAGUGCGGGACGUGUCCCGUUUUGUAUGUACCUUAUGAAUAAGGAUCGGCUAACUCCGUGCCAGCAGCCGCGGUAAUACGGAGGAUCCGAGCGUUAUCCGGAUUUAUUGGGUUUAAAGGGUGCGUAGGCGGCCUUUUAAGUCAGCGGUGAAAGUCUGUGGCUCAACCAUAGAAUUGCCGUUGAAACUGGGGGGCUUGAGUAUGUUUGAGGCAGGCGGAAUGCGUGGUGUAGCGGUGAAAUGCAUAGAUAUCACGCAGAACCCCGAUUGCGAAGGCAGCCUGCCAAGCCAUUACUGACGCUGAUGCACGAAAGCGUGGGGAUCAAACAGGAUUAGAUACCCUGGUAGUCCACGCAGUAAACGAUGAUCACUAGCUGUUUGCGAUACACUGUAAGCGGCACAGCGAAAGCGUUAAGUGAUCCACCUGGGGAGUACGCCGGCAACGGUGAAACUCAAAGGAAUUGACGGGGGCCCGCACAAGCGGAGGAACAUGUGGUUUAAUUCGAUGAUACGCGAGGAACCUUACCCGGGUUUGAACGCAUUCGGACCGAGGUGGAAACACCUUUUCUAGCAAUAGCCGUUUGCGAGGUGCUGCAUGGUUGUCGUCAGCUCGUGCCGUGAGGUGUCGGCUUAAGUGCCAUAACGAGCGCAACCCUUGCCACUAGUUACUAACAGGUAAAGCUGAGGACUCUGGUGGGACUGCCAGCGUAAGCUGCGAGGAAGGCGGGGAUGACGUCAAAUCAGCACGGCCCUUACAUCCGGGGCGACACACGUGUUACAAUGGCGUGGACAAAGGGAAGCCACCUGGCGACAGGGAGCGAAUCCCCAAACCACGUCUCAGUUCGGAUCGGAGUCUGCAACCCGACUCCGUGAAGCUGGAUUCGCUAGUAAUCGCGCAUCAGCCAUGGCGCGGUGAAUACGUUCCCGGGCCU
rnacentral:rRNA from 1 species